CACAAUCAGCCGCACAAACAAUGGGUCUGCUUAAAAAAGAAUCAGCCAUUUCCAUGGCAUCCUCUUAAAGAAGACAACCCCCAAUUCCAUUAGAAAAGGAACCAAAUUCCUAACACCUGGAAAAGCCAACGAAAUUUUCUAGAAAAUCACCCCAAAAUCAACCAUUAACCACCCCAAAAUCCUGCUGAAAAUAAGUUCCAAACUCAGCUAAAAAACUGAUGGAGAACAUGCCUAAAACCAGUCCUUCAACAGCUUCAAAACAGCCCUAAAUUAGCCCCCAAAUCAUGCCAAAAAUCAACUUAAAAUUAGCUACAAAACCAGCUGAAAAUUGUCUCAAAACCAACACAAAAUACAGCUACAACGCAGCUACAAAACAGCUCCAGAAUCCUCAAUUAAUCCCAUUGAAGUCUUGAGCUCGAGGUUGUCGCUGACGAUGUUUCCGUUCAACAGGGCAGGUUCAGUUCGCGAGAGAGCUGCAUCCAUCCGCAGGACUAAAGCAUAUUUCCU
rnacentral:lncRNA from 1 species